AAGCUGCCCAGCUGAGCCUUGGGUGAAGUAGGAGGCAGAGGCUGAAUUCAGGUCAGAAGCUGAGCCCUGUGUCUGGCAGGUCUCUGUGACUCUGGGCAAGGGCGUCUACCUCUGUAGGCCUGUUUCCUCAUCCAGGAUUUACUGUGGUUGGCCAAGCCUCUGUGCCCGGUGGCCAGAGGACACUUGAAAAUCCAGCUGUACACUCUGGUGUGAGCUGUGACCAGGAAGAGUGUUUUAUUUUUCUAAUUUACACCCAAACACCAUUCUGCCAGCCAGAGCCAGAGCCACAGGGCUGUGACCACUUAGAGAGGGCAAUUGAAGAGCAGGCACCCAGGAGGCCUUCGAGUCAGUGCCCAGCAACAGCAUCUCAGAGGGGGACACACUCAGCCCGAGGCAGGGGCAUGACUGUGACGCCAAGGCCAGCCUGAAGACUUCCUGGACAAGAUUCUGAGCAUGAGGAUUCUCUGCUCUUCGAACUUGGAGAGCGACUUGAACAUUACUCCAAGCCCCCUCUCGCAAUUCAUUUCAUCUCCAGGCAGCACCUGCCCAUUGGCUACCCACUCUGGCCUCGGCCCGGAGCACACCCACCCAUCCCUCACCCUGAGUGCUCCUGCCUCCGUUUGAUCUCAGAAAGGACAGGCUUCUUGCCUGGCUCGUGUCCACUUGGGCCUCGGUCUUGGAGACUGAAGGCGAGAUUUGGCAGGAGGCGAGGCCAGGGGAAACCUAGGACAG
ensembl:lncRNA